rnacentral:tRNA from 1 species
GGGAAUGUGGCUCAGUAUUAGAGUGCUUGCCUGGUAUACAUAUGGCUCUGGGUUUGAUUCCCAGCAUCA